ACUACUUAUCGCUGCUGACCACCGGCGACUCAGAUCCGGGGACGGGGGAUAGCAAGGCGAUGCAGUUCUUCAGCGGCUCCUCGGCGGUGGACAUCAGCCCGUCCCCACCGGCGCCGCCCGGUACGGCGACUGCGCUUAGCGGGAACAACGCAAACGUGCUGUACAUCUUUAACCGGAGCGGCGUCUGCUUACUCUACCGCGAGUGGCACCGCCCCCUCCGUACCCUCGACGCCAACCAGGACCAGAAGCUCAUGUUCGGCCUCCUCUUCUCCCUCCGGUCCUUCACCGCCAAGAUGGAUCCCACCAGCGUCGAUAAGGGCAAUCUCGGGGUGCCGCUGUUGCCGGGGCAAGGCUGUUCCUUCUACAGUUUUCGGACCAAUACCUAUAAGCUGAGCUUCAUGGAAAGCCCGUCUGGGAUAAAGCUUAUUUUGAUCACACAGCCAAAGACCAGUGACCAUCAAGAGUCUCUGAAACACAUAUACAAUCUUUAUGUGGAAUAUGUUGUAAAGAAUCCUCUCUAUGUGCCUGGUUCUCCAAUCAAGUCUGAACUCUUCGAUACCAAUCUGGACCAAUAUGUGAAAACACUGAUCUAGCCUGCUGAGGCAGUUUGGACAUUGUUCAAAUAUAAAUUUGUGGAAUGCUAAAUUUGGAUGACAGAUCGCACAAGAUUCUCUGGAUGAGAGCAACCAAAAUGUUCAUAUGACAAGGGAUGCUCUUAAUAACCAAGCAAGUGUUUUUGCUUACGUGGAUCUUACUUCAAUAGGAACUUGAUGGGUCGUUCUACCUAUACAUAUUGAUUUUAUUGUUAUAUUUAGAGUUAUUUCAUGUAUUAUUUUAACUAAAACAGUUAGUGGAUAUUUUUUUGAAUCUUUUA